GAAAAUUAGGAAUAUGGUAAAUGGAACCAAUACCGGAAGAAGGCUUCUUGAAGAUGGCGUGUCAAAAAGAGCUGAGGAAGAUGUUCAAGCUGCAACUGUGGAAAAUGAAGAAGGUCUAGAAGCGGAUGCUGAUUCAUCUUUUGAGUUAUUUCGUGACAGUGAUGAGUUGGCAGAUGAGUAUAAUUACGAUUAUGAUGAUUACGUUGAUGAGCACGCGUGGGA
rnacentral:misc_RNA from 1 species